rnacentral:rRNA from 1 species
CCUACGGGAGGCAGCAGUGAGGAAUAUUGGUCAAUGGGCGCUAGCCUGAACCAGCCAAGUAGCGUGAAGGAUGACUGCCCUAUGGGUUGUAAACUUCUUUUAUCUGGGAGUAAAGUACAGUAUGUAUACUGCUUUGCAUAGACCUUGUGAAUAAGGAUCGGCUAACUCCGUGCCAGCAGCCGCGGUAAUACGGAGGAUCCGGGCGUUAUCCGGGUUUAGUGGGUUUAAAGGGAGCGUAGGCGGGUUGUUAAGUCAGUUGUGAAAGAUUGCGGCUCAACCGCAAACUUGCAGUUGAUACUGGCAUUCUUGAGUAAAGUAGAGGUAGGCGGAAUGCGUGGUGUAGCGGUGAAAUGCUUAGAUAUCACGAAGAACUCCGAUUGCGAAGGCAGCCUGCCGGACUGUAACUGACGCUGAAGCUCGAAAGUGUGGGUAUCAAACAGGAUUAGAUACCCGAGUAGUC